UGCAGCUUUCCCCGGGGCUGUAUCCUCUCACCCUUCUGAGUUCUAGUCCCAGCUUGUCCUUUCCGUCGUUCUUGACAUCAGCAUUCCUCUCCUUAGACUCUCAACAUUUUGGUUCAGAUUCUAGCAAUUUUAAUCAAUCAAUCUCUCUCUCUCUCUCUCUAUCUUCUCUCUCUACAUUGUGAUCGGAUGGCUAGGCCUGUCCUGGUGAGACAGGAGGGAAAGGACUGAUUAAAACCUUCUCCUCUGGGGGUGAGGCUGGCGUUCUGGGCCACUGGCUCUUCAUGAGCACCUUCACAGGGAGGAUGUCCUCUGUGGUCACUCUGCCC